rnacentral:lncRNA from 1 species
UGUCAUUCUAUUUGUUUUCACAGAAUUACUUCUGUGCUUAUACAGGGAAGAGUUAGACUGCUCUUAAAAUCAUGCUUGUGUUUAACAAAGUUAUUGCAUGCUUUAUUAAUGUUUGAAAGGUUGCACUGAUAACAAGCUUAGGAAACUUAAUAAGGUACUUACAUGUAUUGAUAGAUUGAAACGUUAGUUUUCUUCUCUAGAAAAGGGAAUCCAGUAUGAGGAAAACUACAGUCAAAGUUUAGAAGACCUUUUAAAAACAACUCACAGGACUUUUCGCUGCUCUUUUAAGGUGGGACUGAUCACUUUUUCAGUUGGUUUAUGAGAACGAAAUCGUUCGGUAGCAGCUUCUUUGAAGCCGCUGGAGCAAGUCUGGUAAAAAUCUGUAUUAGCAGAAUCAGAACCAGACACUCAGCCUCGGAAUUCCACUCUGCUGGAAAAUGGGUGCAGAUCAGCUCCUUUGGAGACCACGGACUAAGAAGAAUAUUCCUUUUGUCCUAUAAAAAUAUUGGGAUGAGUUUUGGUUUUUAAGACGGCUGCUAGUAUUCGUUCUCUCCUCUGAGGAUCGCCCACGUGACCAUGCCGUGUAAUCUGUGCUGGGUCCUCCCUAGAGAGCUCCAGCUGUCCACCCUCGGCUACGAGUCUGAACCAAACCUGCUGCCCACGUGCGUGGCAGCAGAAAGCCAUCUGAAAGGUCGCAGUGCCCCAUGGUUUGAUCUAUGGUCAAGAUGCCAAAACCUACAGGGGCAGAUCAGAGUUUAUUGUGUGAAGAGCUUCAGAAGAAAGAUAAGCUGCCUUAAAACUGUUAGAGGUUUCUCAUCAUCAAAGCGUUUGAAGAUUACAGUGAUAAAGGAAUACAAAAAAUAUAAACACUGAGAUGAAGAUAGAAGCAGAAAGUGUUUAUAUGGCAAUUGUCAUGAAACUGUUACCAAAAAAAAGCACAGAAGUAGAAAAAAGAUGAAUUCAAAAAUUCCCUGUCCAGAACAAGACAGGAAAAAUAUGCAUAUAGACAAAAAUCCUCAGAUUUUUGACUGUAAGUCUUUUAUGACUGUAAGAAUCAUUGCUGAAACCAUUUUGAAGGUCGCCCUGGGGUCCUCUAAAUAGUGCAGUUGUGUUAGAUGCCCCUUUUUUUAGAUAUUUCUUCUACGAUUAAGGGUAACGUAAAGACUUAUUUUUCUAAUAUGGUUACCUGUAAAUUUUUCCAUCAAGUAUCCUUUCAACAUUUUCGAACUCCAUUACUCAAUUUCAAACAAAUGUGACAUCAGUACGGACGGUAAAAGCUCCGCAAAUGCUCUAAAAAUAGGGCAAAUAAUAGAACAUGUCAGUGCUCCACUGACCCAGUGACAGGAUGAAGGAUGAGUUUGUUUUUAGAUACCAAAAAAUGGUAGAGAAAAGGAGAGAAAAAUUCCACCCGUGGAGAAGCUGCAUCUCUUAUGAGAUACUGCAUAAUGCAAUGAGACAGAAAGCAUAGGCAAUCAGGAGAUUCUGCUCAUGUAUUGGUGGCUCUAAAGGUGGGGGAAUUUCAGAGGUGGCUGCUGUCUUAGGAGGAAGAUAUGAAAUACAGAGAAUUUACAGAUUCUGCAGAAAGACACCAUAAGUGACACAGCUUUGGCAGUUAGCGGGAAGUUUGUGAAGCAGCAGCAAAUUUCAAAGCAGCCAGUAGGUUGGUUCAGACUUUCAGCUGUAAUGUCAGGACAUUGAUUAUCUUCUAAACAACGGUCUCUCAGGAUCAUUGAAUAUGCAAGGUCCAAGACAACAUGCACUUCUCGUACUGUUUUGGUGGCCCUGCCCCCAUAGAUAACAAGAAUUCAUGUUAUAUUGCCUAUGUUAUCCUCAGCUGUACGUACUAUCCAGCACUGAACACUAUUCAGGUACUAUAGCACUAAAGUACUAUUCAGGCACUUUAUUAGGAAAAUUUGUACUUACUUUCUUCAUUGUUAAUGCUUUCGGGUAGGGUUAUAAUCUAGACAGGGCUCCAAAGUAUGACUUCUAUGCUGUAAAAAUAGUCUAGAAUUCAGAAGACUGGAUUUGGGCCUGAUGCAUGCUUUACCAUACCCCAUAUAUUUUUUAACAAACAUCUACAAGGAACAAAUAGCUGUUAUCCUCCCUGCGUUUGCUAAUGGACUCAGACAGACAGCACAAAAAGCAUAUUUAAAUCCACUAACAGUAAAAGAGUAGCACCUUGAAAAAGUGACUCUCAGACUCAGUAGUCUGCCAAAAUGAGUACUGUGGUGUAAAUAUUUGAAAUAAUUCUUCAUUGUAUGGUUACAAGCCGAGCAAUAGGGAUGCAGAAGGGGUAGAGGAACAUUUCGAAAUGCCAGGUCCUAAAGAUAGCUGUGAAUUUUCACUAUUCAGUACAUCUGAGUAGACAAAGAAAAUCCGGACCUUUGAUGACCCCUGGUGAAUAAACUAAGCACUGCAUUGAAAUGACGACCGAUA